AGUGAACGCUGGCGGUAGGCCUAACACAUGCAAGUCGAACGGCAGCACAGUAAGAGCUUGCUCUUACGGGUGGCGAGUGGCGGACGGGUGAGGAAUACAUCGGAAUCUACUUUUUCGUGGGGGAUAACGUAGGGAAACUUACGCUAAUACCGCAUACGACCUACGGGUGAAAGCAGGGGAUCUUCGGACCUUGCGCGAUUGAAUGAGCCGAUGUCGGAUUAGCUAGUUGGCGGGGUAAAGGCCCACCAAGGCGACGAUCCGUAGCUGGUCUGAGAGGAUGAUCGGCCACACUGGAACUGAGACACGGUCCAGACUCCUACGGGAGGCAGCAGUGGGGAAUAUUGGACAAUGGGCGCAAGCCUGAUCCAGCCAUACCGCGUGGGUGAAGAAGGCCUUCGGGUUGUAAAGCCCUUUUGUUGGGAAAGAAAAGCAGCAGGUUAAUACCCCGCUGUUCUGACGGGACCCAAAGAAUAAGCACCGGCUAACUUCG
rnacentral:rRNA from 1 species